GAACACCUUAAUAUGGGGCAGGUACUGAGGAGGGCGAGGGACCAGGGUCCAUGAUGAAGGAAACAUGGCUGACGUUCUCAAGGAGUCCAUGGUCUAGUGGAUAUUCAGUAUCCAUGACUGCACAAGUUACCUCAAAAUGCAGCAGCUUAAAACAGCACCAGUUAUUUAUUAACUCAAAUGGUUUCUGUGUGUCAGGAAUCUCAGAGUAUAUUCGCUGGGUGGUUCUUAGGAUUCCUCAUGAGGUUGCAGUCAUCUGAAUACUUGCUCUGGGAUGUAAGAUCUAAUUCUAUGCUGGCUCCCACAUACAUGCCCGGCAGUUGAUGCCAGCUAUCAAUAAGAAGGCUCACGUUUUUGCCACUCCAGAAGUCUGCUUGAGAGUCUUUACAACAUGCUGGCUUCCCCCAAAGUGAGUGGUCCCAAAGACAGCAAGGUGGAGGCAAGGUUAUCUUGAAAACUUGGCCUCAGAAGUAACAUGGCAUCAUUCCUGCAACAUCUUAUUGGUUAUAUAGUCGAGAGAAAAAUAUAGUUUUAAAAAUUGUGCUACUACAGAAAGUCUGCAAAAUGCAAUGAAAACGAGAAAACUAGAAUACAUGUACCCAGAGAUAAAAUAACGUUACUGGGAAUCCUCCGUGCUGAAUGAAACAGCCUCAAAAUUCUUACCAAGACUUCUUCAUUCAAACACCUGGUUAGAGCCAACUAUGAGCAAGCACAUGCUAAGAAUUGGGAAGCAGAAAGAAGAGCCGAGGGGUCCAUCCACGUAGGCUCCACACUGCAGUGGCAAGUGAGACAUACAUCCACCAAUACCCAUGCAUCAAAGGUAUUUAACAAAUAAGUACACAAGGAUCAAUGUCAUAAAAAAUGAAGUAACAGGUGGAAAGAUAACCUAUAGAAGGGGAACCCAAAUUUGAACAGAAUGCCAGGCCCAGAACACUUUCCUUGAGAUGCUAACUGAGCUCUAGAAGAAAGAUGAGGAAGGGAGAUUCCUAUUUCAGGUAACAUAGUGAACUAGACAACCUCAAAACCCUCACAGUGAAAACAUUUUGAAAAGUUAACAAGGAACAUAUAUGUGUGCGUGUGUGUGUGUGUGUGUGUGUGUGCGCACGCACGCAUAUAAAACUUAAGUUGGCAUCACAGCAAAAAUACAAAAAUGAAAAGCAAGUCCAAGUUGGAAAAUUAGAAUAUAAGUAAUCCCUGAAACUCAGUAUUGCUUUGAGGGGAAUGGCUCUUGACCUUCUGCUUUCACUGCUGUGAGGGUGCAGGAGGGAGAAGAUGAGGCCCAUGGCCUGGCUUAAGAGGGAGUCAGAGAGAGAACCUUUGCAUGAAGUUAGGACCCGAAUCCUACACUCUUAGUAUAAAGGUGAUUUAGAAACAAACCCCCACACACAGAAGGGAGGAACAGAAAACACACUGAUUUUUAUCUGGAUGACUACUAAAGUGGGGGUGGGAGGCCUUCCCUGAGAAUUAGCACCCUCAAGAUGGAUCACACAGUGGUGUGUUGUCUGGACUCAAGCUAUCUGGUGUCUGACAGACCUCAAAUGCAGAAUUUAAUUCAAAGUGAUUAGGACUGACAGGGCCUCAGGCAACUAGCCGCAAUAAAUGCAAAUCUGCUUCCAGGCAAACACAACAUUACACCUCCAGGCUUUCAUAAAUCUGCAUGGAAUUUCCCAUAGAGUUCAACUGUAGUAAGUGAGGAGGAAAGGCUAGGGCCCACGGCUAGGCUGCAGGGCUCAAUUCUUGUUUCCACCACUCCACAGCUAAGAAGUCUUGGUCUAGCUGCCUCUACUCUCAGGUUCCUCCUCUGUAAAAGAUUAUCACAGCACUAAUUUCAAGGAUCUGUCAUGAGAUUUCAAUGAGAUAACACUAAAUGUUUAGUACUAUGUCUGAUACAUGAUAAGUGACAAGUAAAUGUUGGCUAUUGAUUUUGAUUACCAUUUUGCAAAUUUAUAUUGUUGUAUACCUUUACUCAUUGUUCUGUUUAUUAAUAUUUCCUCCAUUGUUUUAUUAAAUUUAC
rnacentral:lncRNA from 1 species